CCGUACUCGAUUCACUCACGUGAUUUCCCGUACAAAAAUAAUAAAUAAUGACCGACUCUAAAGCGUGGCCCAUCGAGGCCCGGCGUCCCCUGACCGGGGAGCUGGGAAGAGGGCUGAGAGUCCCCUUCUGUCUCGGUUUGCUGCCUUGGCGGGCAGCCCGAAAAAGAUGACAGAAAAAAUAACUUGGUCGCUGUGGUGGCACCGAGUCGAAAGAUAAUACAAGUCCCUCGUGGAUCCAACGGCAGGAACGCCGAGGCUGGCGACGCGCUCACGUAGUGAAAGUUUAUGCGGGGCGCGUUAUGGAAGCCGGUCCUCUUGCUCUGUCGCCCAUGAGGGACUUAGAAAAAAAAGUCUGCCGAGCUGUAAGUGAUAUAUAUGCCCUGCGAAGCAAGACUAGAGAACCGAGUGCCGUGGUGCCGUGUCUGGCCCGCGGUGCUCGGUUUUCAACACUGAGAGAUGGUUUGAUUCUCCUCGAACCAGAUGAAGUUGCGGUACCAGAAUAUAUCGUCCGAUUCUUUUGAGUUGGCCCCUAACAGUGGGGACGAGAAUCAUUAUGCGAGACGGUUGGUUGUAAAGCUUAUUUUUUGCGCCGCUUCGACUCAGUGAGCCGUGCUCCCUAAACCAUUUAUUGGUGCCGGGAGACCCACCAGGCGAAAAGGAUUAAAACACUUAGUAGCUUGCUGUGGGGUGAAACGGGACGCGUUAUUUCUCUUCUCCGGAAGUGAAAAUAUGACAAGUCUCUCUCGGAAAAAGCCUCAAUAUUACUGCUGUCCGUGGACUUGAGAGAAAUCUGGGUCAAUACACGGUUCAGUCGGUUAACAAAAU
rnacentral:misc_RNA from 1 species